rnacentral:lncRNA from 1 species
GUACUGGCUUGCUAGCUAAGCCGUAAGGCGAAACGAUUAGGCUUGGUGUUUUUUGGUGACUGGUGAGGCCCUGCUAGUUGCCAAGUGGCUUGAGAGGCUCUAUCUAUGCUUGGCGCGAGGGGAUUUUUUUUGUGGCCACCGAACGUUGUGGCAGGAUGUUGGCCUCUCGGUGACAGUAACCAGAAAAUAGGAGGGGGAGUGACAGGUGAGGCCC